rnacentral:lncRNA from 1 species
CACCACAAAAUGGAACCAUUCUAUAAGUUUUGGUGAAAUUACCUCAGCAGUCCACCAACCUUGGCUCAUCUCAAAGGCCGACAUACCUCCUUUGAAAUAUCUUCUUAGACUAAAAUCGCUUGAGUAAUCAACUCCUACCGCAAUUUCUCCAAUGGGGAGAAGCAACAUCUUUUUCAAGAUUGUUCCAUCAAUCUCGAUAAUUCGCCCUUGUACGACACUCGAUCCAUUCUCCAGGUCGUAAUUUGUAAUAUAUUCUUCCAUUAAUGACACAUUAAUUUAUGAUAAGUAAUCUGUCUGGUGCAAAAACUAGAACAACUUCACAUUCCAAAAGUCUUUUAUUCUUCUUGGUAUCCACCAGAUAUCUAACUUCAUCGGCUCCAUAUUAGUAAUGAUUAUCACAGAAAGUGGUUUUGAUGCACGUCUAGCUCUCACAUUUUGGCCACUGUCUUCUUUGUCUGUAGCUCACUUUGCACUUUCAAUUGCCAUGAUGCUCCCUCUCUCAAACUCUUAACUGGAACUAUUACUCUCGAAUACACAAGAAAUACAAGAAAUGGCAAUUUCAGAAAAAACAACCCAAAACGACACCACAAAAUGACCUCUAAUUGGUGCCCCACUCCUAUUCUCUUACUACCUAGUGAUAAUGACAAUAUGUUAUGCAUACUAUCCGUUUCUCACCUCCAUCCCAUUUGACACAUUAGUAAUUAUUAACUAUCCUUUCAGUCGCCUCUACAUCCUAAUGCACUUAUACCAUAUUUAGGUCUAUCCUGAGUCCAU